rnacentral:rRNA from 1 species
CCUAGGGGGGGCAGCAGUGGGGAAUAUUGCACAAUGGGGGAAACCCUGAUGCAGCGACGCCGCGUGAGUGAAGAAGUAUUUCGGUACGUAAAGCUCUAUCAGCAGGGAAGAAAAUGACGGUACCUGACUAAGAAGCCCCGGCUAACUACGUGCCAGCAGCCGCGGUAAUACGUAGGGGGCAAGCGUUUGCCGGAUGUACUGGGUUGAAAGGGAGCGGAGACGGCAGCGCAAGUCUGGAGUGAAAUCCCAUGGCUUAACCAUGGAACUGCUUUGGAGACUGUGCAGCUGGAGUGCAGGAGUGGUAAGCGGAAUGCCUAGUGUAGCGGUGAAAUGCGUAGAGAGUUGGAGGAAUACCGGAGGCGAAGGAAGCUUACUGGACUGUAACUGACGUUGAGGCUCGAAAGCGUGGGGAGCAAACAGGAUUAGAUACCCUAGUAGUC